CCUACGGGGGGCAGCAGUGGGGAAUAUUGGACAAUGGGGGGAACCCUGAUCCAGCCAUGCCGCGUGUGUGAAGAAGGCCCUCGGGUUGUAAAGCACUUUCAGUGAGGAAGAACGCCUGGUGGUUAAUACCCAUCAGGAAAGACAUCACUCACAGAAGAAGCACCGGCUAACUCCGUGCCAGCAGCCGCGGUAAUACGGAGGGUGCGAGCGUUAAUCGGAAUUACUGGGCGUAAAGCGCGCGUAGGUGGCUUGAUAAGCCGGUUGUGAAAGCCCCGGGCUCAACCUGGGAACGGCAUCCGGAACUGUCAAGCUAGAGUGCAGGAGAGGAAGGUAGAACUCCCGGUGUAGCGGUGAAAUGCGUAGAGAUCGGGAGGAAUACCAGUGGCGAAGGCGGCCUUCUGGACUGACACUGACACUGAGGUGCGAAAGCGUGGGUAGCAAACAGGAUUAGAUACCCUUGUAGUC
rnacentral:rRNA from 1 species